rnacentral:rRNA from 1 species
UACGUAGGGGGCAAGCGUUGUCCGGAAUUAUUGGGCGUAAAGAGCGUGUAGGCGGUCCGGUAAGUCAGCUGUGAAAGUCAAGGGCUCAACCCUUGAAAGCCGGUUGAUACUGUCGGGCUAGAGUCCGGAAGAGGCGAGUGGAAUUCCCGGUGUAGCGGUGGAAUGCGCAGAUAUCGGGAGGAACACCAAUGGCGAAGGCAGCUCGCUGGGACGGUACUGACGCUGAGACGCGAAAGCGUGGGGAGCAAACAGG